rnacentral:rRNA from 1 species
UGGGGAAUAUUGCACAAUGGGGGAAACCCUGAUGCAGCGACGCCGCGUGAGCGAAGAAGGCUUUCGAGUCGUAAAGCUCUGUCCUAUGAGAAGAUAAUGACGGUAUCAUAGGAGGAAGCCCUGGCUAAAUACGUGCCAGCAGCCGCGGUAAUACGUAUGGGGCGAGCGUUGUCCGGAAUUAUUGGGCGUAAAGGGUACGUAGGUGGUUUUUUAAGUCAGGUGUCAAAGCGUGGAGCUUAACUCCAUUAAGCACUUGAAACUGAAAGACUUGAGUGAAGGAGAGGAAAGUGGAAUUCCUAGUGUAGCGAUGAAAUGCGUAGAUAUUAGGAGGAAUACCGGUGACGAAGGCGACUUUCUGGACUUUUACUGACGCUCAGGUACGAAAGCGUGGGGAGCAAACAGG